rnacentral:lncRNA from 1 species
CAAACAGGCUUCAUUUACGUUCACUCAGCGACUAAACCAGAAAACCCCGCCGCCGGCAGUGUGCCACAAGCCAGGGGCAUUUUGGACAUCUUCAGAAUCUUUCAAGCCACCUACAUUCAAGCUGUCGGGCUAAUUCCGAUAAAGACGACGCCAAAUUUAAGAUCUGACGGAGAUUUCACAUUAACGAUAUGGCCAAAGAGAACAACUCCUCCGCUAUGGAUGUGGACAACCAGAAUUCGGAAUCCGUUGAUCAGAUUAAUAGCCCUAGGUUCUCUAUCAAUGGUAAUUUACUCUCCCAUAAAGCUCUAGACAGCUAAUUUUGAGGUGAUAAUUUAGUUUUUUUUGGUGAAUUUACAGUUUUAUAGCUCUUGAAAUCCGCUCAGAUGCAGCAUGGAUUGCGGUUUGGCGAUUACGCUCGUUACCGGUAUAACCUACGCUUGUACACUUAUGGUAUAUGUUUAUGAGUAAUUUGGUACGAUGAAGUUCCGGGAAGUAGGUUUAAUUUUUGUAAGAAAUGCCGUUUGAUAUUGUUUUUACCAGUAUAUAAGCGUAAGUGUGCUCUAUAUAGGUGUAUGAGGGAAUUUAUGACAUUGAUCAUUAGAGGUGGCAGGGUUAAAUUUGUGAAAAAUGUGGUGUGAUAGAGUUGUACUAUUGAGGGAAUGUGAAAUUGACCAGUUUUUACAAAUUUUUUAGGAGGUACUGUACUGCUCGGCUCAGGAGAUUGUACAAGUCGUUGAAAUUCACGCAUGACCGUGGUAAAUAUAGUAAAAGGGCGAUUACAGCUUCUAUGGUCACUGAAGUGAGGUAAUAGAUUGCCAAGACCAAUGGUUGAAUUUGAUUGACAUUACAGUUGGUAAAUAUUUUAAUUUCGCUUUUGCUAUUUGAAGAACAAAUAUGCUGUUUUGUCUCUCAUUAAUAAUUUCUUAAUGGUCGUUAAUCUAUCCUGAUUCUGCGUGGUGGUUGGGGACACUGUAGGUAUCUUCAUGUGGUUCUUUAUACAGGAGAAAGAGCUUGGAGCCAUGCUAUGGAAAAGAAAACGCUGCCAGAUGGUCCAAAUGCACGUCAGCGUGGCUAUCUGAUUGGUAGGCUGCGAAAAGCAGUCAAAUGGGCUACUUUGUUUCAAGACUUGUGUUCCAUUAAGGGAGAUUCUAGGACAUCUUUGGAAGUAGAGGUGUGCUGAUUAAUUCAUCAUUUUGCACUGCUGCUGUGCCCUGUAUACAAAUAAAGCUAUUUUCGGUCAAAAUACAAUAAGAAUAUGCAAAUUAAGGUUCUAUUGGUAAAUAUUAGUUAUAAUCAUACAAAAAGAGAAGAUAGCCCACAAGUUGGGCCCAAUUACAUACAUGUGUUUAUACUAUUAUUAUUAAACAAAAUCAAAUAGAUAUAUAUAUAUAUAUAUGUGUGUGUGUGUGUGUGUUUAAAAAAAUGUAUUCACACACAUAAUUAGUGAGAAAUGAAAAUUAUAUAGGUAAAUGCUAUUUAGUAUUAGUAUAUACUACUAAUGCUAUUUAGUGACAAAUGCUAUUUAGUAUAUACUACUAAUGCUAUUUAGUGACAAAUGCUAUUUAGUAUAUACUACUAAUGCUAUUUAGUGACAAAUGCUAUUUAGUAUUAGUAUAUACUACUAAUACUUUAUUAUAUUAUAUAGGUAAAUGCUAUUAAUAAUAAUUAGUAUAUGGUAUUAUCAUCAUAUCAUGUACUUAUAAUACUAAUAAUAUAUAAUAAUGUACAAUAUAUUUAUAUUAUUUUAGUAUUUAUUAACUGUUAUAUGACUACAAUAAUGCAUAGUAAUGCAUUACAAUAUAAGAUAACUAUAAUAGUUAUUAUUUUAUACAUGAGUAACAUACUAACAUGACUAGAAUUAGAUAAUAAUUAAUACAUAUAUGUAUAAUACUAAAUAUUAAACAAUAAACAUAAUUAGUAAUUAGAAUUUAGAUAUUGGUAAUUUGAUACAUCAUUCAUGUUUGAAUUAUUGAAUAUUUGAAUGCGUAAUCUAUAACUUGCAAGUAUUAGUGUACUCUAAAUUUACAUUACAUAUUCACUAAUCUUAAGGUUUUAAGUAUAGAUAAGACAACUAAGCAGUGUAAGUGAAUGUAUAUGAAUUGCAAAUCAAUGUAUUAGUGUAUUGACUUUCACAAUAACAUAUGUAAGUAAAUAAGUUUAAUUUUGAUUUGAAAUAAAUUAUAAGUUUGUAACUAACAUAACUUAUCACUAAUCAUUGUAAUUUGUAAGUUUGUAACUAAUAUUACUUAUUAUUAAUCAUUGUAAAUUAUAAAUUCAUAAAUUAUCACUAAUCAUUGUACAGUCUAAGGUUUAUUCUAGUUUAAAUUAAUCACUUUUUAUGUGUUCCUUAAAUCAUAGACUAAGGAUUGUAGGUAUAAGUGAUCAAAUAAGUUAAAAUUCAUAUUAUCUAUUUACUAAUCUUAAGGCUUUAAGUAUAGACAAAAUAACUAAGCUGUGUAAGUGAAUGCAUGUGAGUUGCAAAUCAAGUAAAUAAGUUUUAUUUUGAUUUGAAAUAAAUUAUAAGUUUGUAACUAAUGUAACUUAUCACUAAUCAUUGAUUCAUUGUAAUUUAUAAGUUUGUAACUAAUAUUACUUAUUAUUAAUCAUUGUAAAUUAUAAAUUCAUUGUAACUACUAACUAAAUUAGUUUAAAUUAAUCACUUUUUAUGUGUUUCUUAAAUCAUAGACCAAGGAUUUUAGGUAUAAGUGAUCAAAUAAAUGCCAAUUAAACCACAAAAUGAUUUGAACAUAAGUAAUGUGUUCAAUUAUGAAUAAAUUUGGGGAUCAAAUCAGUAAUAAUUUUUAAAUCAUUGAGGAGCAUAAUGAAUGUAUUAUAAUUUAGGAGCCCCAAUUUAUAAAUUAAAAAUUACAAAAUCACUUCAUUUGGGAAGAGUCGGAUUUCAUCUUCAGCUGAUGACAAGUGAGAAAACAACCAUUGCAAAUUUGCAAUAUUGCAUGGUGCCGUGACUGCCGUCACCUAGGGCUUUCACAGCACUAACACUCCCAAGUCCCAAUUCCCAAAUCGAAGCUGCUCUCCGCCUCUCCGGCCUCCGCCAGUCCGCCGCGCUCUACGCCUCCUGUCGGCUGUGUCCUGCCGUGCUGGUUCAUCGCUGCCGAGUGUCGAAGACGAAGCACCAAGAUCUCACUGGUUCAUCGCUGGUUCAUCACUGCUCAUCUCUGGCUCGCUUAGGUAAGUGCUCCUCUGUUUUUGGCUCUGUGUAUCUGGCAUUAAAAUGGGCCAAGAUCGACUAGGAAAUUUGUUAUCCUGAAUUGAUAAGGGGACGAAAUCUGAGCUUCGAAUUGCAAACUCUAACUGUUGUAGUAGUUUAGAUUAGGUGUGAUAUAACAUAAGCUUUGUAUUUUAUACACAAGAAAGCUCUCUCCAGUUGUGCAGCCUUUAAAAGUUAAGGCCUUGGGGAAAAAUUCCACCUUUUACCCGUUAGAAAAAUUAAAAAGGAAAAAACUUGCUAAAAUGAAAAUUUUACCUCCUUGUCCGUGGAGAUUCUCAAUCUCUGGUGCACAUCUAGUGAAAGUACGGCUCCAGAAGUUGUACCUAGGAUUCUGGAUAUGAAUUUUCUGCAAUGUGUAAAAGAAGAAACAUCUAUGUAUAAAUAAGCAGAAAGGUCACCUUAAUAAGCUCAAUAAAAGUAAUCAGCUCCUGAAUAAGUAAUGGAAAGCAUUGGAGCAAGUCUAGAACAUAUCGAAGAGAGCAAUUUAGCUUUUAUAACUACAAACCAGUAGAAGGCCUACAUAUGUCUAGCUUCUUUACAUAUUUUCAGUCUAAUAUUUGUAGCUUUCUCAUGGCUUGCGGGGGUUGGUAGUUGCUGAACUAUAAAGAUUGGUUUUAUAUAUUCUCUUAAUUUGCUUCAGGGUUAUUUUGUAACUACUUGAACUCAUUAAUUUGUAGUAGCUUCUAGUUAUUUUACAAAUUACAACUACGCAGUAUAGAUUUUAUUACCCUACUGUGGCUUAGGAACUAUGAUAUGAGGAAUUAGAAUCAUCCAUUUUUUGCUGCUCUUGUGGGCACCACUAGUUGGUGGGUAAUUGCUGAAUUUGAAAGUUUCAUGUCAAGCAAUCCAGCUUGCCUUUGAAUCUUCCCAAAAAGCCACCUUUGAUCUCAUUUUUUGGUCAAAUCGAGUCAAAAAGCUUGAUAAGACUCGACUCGAUAAGGCUUGACUAAAGGUCGAGCCUUAUCGAGUCGAGUCUCGAGCCUAAAGGAAAUUCUUCGAGUCGAGCUUCGAGUAUCCAUUUUUUAGACUCGAUCGAGCUCGAGUUUCUGUGUAUAGUCGAGUCGAGUCGUAUAGCGCUCGAGUAUAGCGAUACUCGAGCUCGACUCGGCUCGAUUAUAUCCUUAUGACAUUAAACAGUAGACAACGCAGGGGAGACUAGGAUUUUUAUGUCGAGACCAAGCAGGCUUCAUUUACGUUCACUCAGCGACUAAACCAGAAAACCCCGCCGCCGGCAGUGUGCCACGAGCCAGGGGCAUUUGGGACAUCUUCAGAAUCUUUCAAGCCACCUACAUUCAAGCCGUCGGGCUAAUUCCGAUAAAGACGACGCCAAAUUUAAGAUCUGACGGAGAUUUCACAUUAACGAUAUGGCCAAAGAGAACAACUCCUCCGCUAUGGAUGUGGACAACCA